rnacentral:tRNA from 1 species
UCCCUGGUGGCUCAGAUGGUAAAGCAUCUGCCUGCAAUGCAGGAGACCCAGGUUCGAUUCCUGGAUUGGGAA